GGUGAAAUGGCUGAUAAUAGGCGAUAAACUGUAAAUUUAUUCAUGAAUCCCGGAUUCUUUCAUCA
rnacentral:tRNA from 1 species